rnacentral:misc_RNA from 1 species
GUUCUAGAUUUCAAAUUUAGAAAAUUAAUAAAAUAAUUAAAUAACCGACGUUAAACCUACAAAGAAGAAAGCAGGUUGUGCUGUAAAAGAACUCCUCUUGUAGCCUGAAAAAAUAGGGGAACAGGAGUGAGCGUUUGACUCAUAGAGUAAGAUAUUGAUUCUAAAUAAAAUUUCUAUAACUAUCUAAACCUAAUGCGUUUCUAUAUAUGGGAUGCAACAUACAUACAUAUUUUCAAAUAAUUCAAACAAUAUUUAUACAAAAAAUAAUUUGGAGCACUCACACAUUCGUGUGUCACAUCAAAGUGUAUAUAUACAUAUGGGAGUUAAUCGACUAUAUAGCUCUCUUAAUUCCAACACCUGCCAGUGAGAUCAAUUCGAGCCGGACUUUCUCUUAAUAAUCCAAAUGCGGGGGUCAGUCAGAUCAACUCAAAGCUGUACUCACAUCGACUUAUCCACAUAUAAAGAUCGAGUCCCAGCGAGUCAAGCUCCAACCAUGACUGUCCUACCCAUAUCCAUAAUCACGCCACACACACGCUGGACGGAAGACAAAUCUGUUGCCCUUGCUUAACCCCUGUCUCUGCUACUAUUCAUCUUCUUUCUCCCUUUUUUCUUUAUAAUUUCUUGUAUUCUAGACCAAAAUCAUUCUUUUCUCCUUGUUGGUGCUCUUCUUUGCUGGAGAAACCUAAAAAAUUCGGCCAAUCUUCCUUCCUUCUUCUUCCCUUCUUCUUUUUCCCCUUCUUCUU